UAGGGAAUCUUCCGCAAUGGGCGAAAGCCUGACGGAGCAACGCCGCGUGAGUGAUGAAGGUCUUCGGAUCGUAAAACUCUGUUAUUAGGGAAGAACAAAUGUGUAAGUAACUAUGCACGUCUUGACGGUACCUAAUCAGAAAGCCACGGCUAACUACGUGCCAGCAGCCGCGGUAAUACGUAGGUGGCAAGCGUUAUCCGGAAUUAUUGGGCGUAAAGCGCGCGUAGGCGGUUUUUUAAGUCUGAUGUGAAAGCCCACGGCUCAACCGUGGAGGGUCAAUGGAAACUGUCAAACUUGAGUGCAGAAGAGGAAAGUGGAAUUCCAUGUGUAGCGGUGAAAUGCGCAGAGAUAUGGAGGAACACCAGUGGCGAAGGCGACUUUCUGGUCUGUAACUGACGCUGAUGUGCGAAAGCGUGGGGAUCAAACAGG
rnacentral:rRNA from 1 species